CGAGCUGUCCCCUGCCAAGUUCCCGCCGUUCGCGUUCAGUCGCGUCCGCGCCUACACCGCCAAGACUCAUGCGCCGCUGUGAGUCACUGUAUAUAGGCUAUAUGUAUCACUUGUACCAUAUACAGGCUAUAUGUACCACCCGCAAGGAGCAGUGGACGCAGUUCGAGCUGUCCCCUGCCAAGUUCCCGCCGUUCGCGUUCAGUCGCGUCCGCGCCUACACCGCCGAGACUCAUGCGCCGCUGUGAGUCACUGUAUAUAGGCUACAUGUACCACUUGUACCAUAUACAGGCUAUAUGUACCACCCGCAAGGAGCAGUGGACGCAGUUCGAGCUGUCCCCUGCCAAGUUCCCGCCGUUCGCGUUCAGUCGCGUCCGCGCCUACACCGCCGAGACUCAUGCGCCGCUGUAACUGCCACACAAGCUGGAGCAACUCGAAGGUUGUGAGUGCAGAAUAACAAGUAACACGGAGCGGUUAGUUUUUAUCAUAGUUUAGACAUUUUCACAUCGGCUUUUAUGGACUGAAAGAGAGUUUUGAGUACUUAUUUUAUUACAUAUUUGAGACAUAGACAGUAGAAAUAUUAAUAUUAUCCAUGAUGAUAAUGAUGUCCUCUCAGAGGUAUCCGUCGACGGCGAUAUCCUGACAAGCUUUUUUAUCAAUAUUUUUUUAAAGGGGCUUUAUUGACUUUUACGCGCAUGGGCGCGAGCGUGACUUGCAAAUCUAAAUUGGUUUUGAAAGUCUUGCAGCACGAAACACAGAAGAGCUGUCCAAAUGAGUUGUAGGAGGGUAAGGAGGGCUUGGGCCGAGUUUUACGGAGCUGACGUUUGGCGUCAAAAUCUUCAAGCCGGGUGCGUUCAAAGGUAUCAAGACCCGUAUUAACAGCAGAUGUCCAUAAUAUGCAGUUAACAGUUCAUACAGUUACAAUGGAACGCCAUGCUCGGCAACUUCAAGACCGAGUGAGGAAUAUCGAGAUCCGACGUCGCACCAAGGUGCGAGACAUGGGUGAUGUCAUUACCAAGAUAAAAUGGAAUUUACAUGUUGCCAGGCAGAGUGAUGGCAUGUAAAGCAUGUUGACGGAUUGACGCUUUCGGACGAAAGAAGCGCCUGGCGUCCGUUGACUCGUUGGGUGGAUGACAUUCGAAAAAUCGCGGGACAUUUCUGGAUGAGGCUAGCCCAGAUCCGGGAUAAGUGGCGUACACGAAGACAGGCAUAUGCUCAGCAGUGGGCGACUGGAGGUUAAAAUUAUGACAGUUAACUGACUAUUCGUAAACUUUAAAGCAGUGAUAUAAGAUGUAAUUACUUAUAUUUGAAAGUUAUCAACACAGUGAUAGGCUCGUCUUUCUACAAGUACAUUUUCAUUGAAGUACAUUAUUGUUUAAAUAUUUUACCAGUUUCACAUAUUUUAAAUUUAUUUAAAUUAAAAAGUUUUAUCUUUUAUCUUGUAGUAAAAUGACUAGUAUGUUUUGAGUGUCUGCAUUUUUUUAAAUAACUAUAUAAAUUCACCAGAGAUUUAUUUUGCUAUCAAGAUUUUGAUGUAAUUAAAUCUAGUCUGUCGUCUGUCGUAGGUAGUGUAUGAAUUUUAAUACUUACUACGCUUUGAAUCCAUCUUUGCCGCACUUCUUGAACACAAUUAGUGCGCGACGCACUAUAAAUCGUCCCAUUACACUGUUCUAAAAAGUAGAUAAAUACCUAUUAUUAUUUGUCACAUUAUUGUAAUAAUAUUUUUUUCGGGAGAGAUUGUAACUGGUAAAUUAAAAUGUACAAAUAAGUUAAUAAAAAUAUUAUUAUCAAGGGUAGGCAAGCAAACACUGUUAACUGUAUUUUUCAAUGUGCUUUAAAUCUACCCAGUCUUGUGUAUUUCUUUGCGGAUCCCUUCGAUUGACAUUAUUAUUGAAAGUCAUAAUGUAAUAAUUGUCAGAUUACCAUUAGUCAUAAUUCUAAAACCGUUAACUUCUCAGGAUUUUCGUAAGGCUAUCCUAUAGAUAGGUUAGGUUCGGUUUGUUUUAUGGCAAUCCUGAAAAAAUUACGCGUUUAAUUUCUGAGGAAAAGCAAAUUAUGAAUAACGAAAAUGCGGACAAAAAAUACAUUAUGACUCAAAACUUUAUGGGAAACAAUAGAGACCCAUCUCUUUCUGGUGCUGUCUGUACAGUCAAGGAAUUUGUUUUCUGUGUCACUUUGAGUCGUGCAAAGUAAAGAAAUAUGUCUCUCACGACAGAGAACUCGAACAAUCAAUUUAAUAUAUUGGUUGUACCUGUACACAUUAUUUUGAACAUGUUGCUAACUAGCUUUAGUCUUUAAGAUGAAAUUUUAAGUUUUUUUUUUAAUACUACGUCGGUGGCAAACAAGCAUACGGCCCGCCUGAUGGUAAGCAGUCUCCGUAGCCUAUGUACGCCUGCAACUCCAGAGGAUACGAUAAGUACGAUAAUACAGAAAAACAAAUAUGUCGGUUCCAGUUAGAGAAGGGUCAUUAUGCCUCAAGUGCAAUAUGGACGUUUCUAUCACGAUUUCUGUCGGAAUUCCUCAUGGAAAGGUGUAAUAAACAAAUGAAGCAUAAUGACCCUUCUGUGAUGGAAAGCCACAUAUAAUAGCUCACUUUGUUAUUCAAGAAAGUUUGUUUUGAAGUACAAAGUGAGCUUGGGUCCCGCCAAUUCUAGCAGUCAUCUCUCGCACUCACAUAUUUGGUAGUAAGGGACGAAUGCCUUAUGUCGUACAUUUGAUAGCUAGCCCAGUUCGCCAAAGGCGACCUGCUUGGUACAAUCAAGGAAUUUAAUUUCUCUGCCCCUUCAUAUCUGGGGGCCAUCCAAGAUGACAAUGGUAGUUCGUGUCAUCCACAAUGAUGUGUAGAUUUGUUAAAUCUAACGUUUAAUAACAUGAGUCUAGGCAUCGGAGUUUUUAUCGCAUGGUAAAACUAAUAGCGAGCUAUGGAGUCGACAUUAUCAAUAAAAUUCAACUCAUAUUCAUACUCAUACUCAUUCAUCUAUUUAAUUACUGAUUUUAAUUUUAUAGUCAAGGACAAGAAUGUUAACGAGUUUGUUAACGAUCCUUUACUUUUGUCUUUCAGGGCACUAAUAUAACGAAUAAGAAUAAUGACCAUUUUUUUGUAUUGAUUAAUUUAUAUUCAUAUUAUUUUUACCUCUUUUAAUAUACAAAUUAGUUUUUUUUUAUGAAAUUUCUUAAUAUAAUUAAUACAAAAAUAAUCAUUAUUCUUAUUUGUCAUAUUUAUAUAUUCAAAGAUAAAGGAUUAAAGGAUCGUUUACAAAUUCGUCAACGUUCUUGUCCUUGACUAUAAAAUUAAAAUCAGUAAUUAAAUAGAUGAAUGAUUAUGAGUAUGAAUAUGAGUUGAAUUUUAUUGAUAAUGUCGACUCCAUAGCUCGCUAUUAGUCUUACCAU